rnacentral:rRNA from 1 species
GCGGGAAGAGCUCAAAUUUGAAAUCUGGUGGCCUCAGGUCAUCCGAGUUGUAAUCUAUAGAAGUGUUUUCCGUGCUGGCCCAUGUACAAGUCCCUUGGAACAGGGCGUCAUAGAGGGUGAGAAUCCCGUCCUUGACAUGGACUACCAGUGCUCUGUGAUACACUUUCAACGAGUCGAGUUGUUUGGGAAUGCAGCUCAAAAUGGGUGGUAAAUUCCAUCUAAAGCUAAAUAUUGGCGAGAGACCGAUAGCGAACAAGUACCGUGAGGGAAAGAUGAAAAGCACUUUGGAAAGAGAGUUAAACAGUAUGUGAAAUUGUUGAAAGGGAAACGAUUGAAGUCAGUCGUGCUCAAUGGACUCAGCCGUUCUGCGGUGUAUUUCCAUUGGGUGGGGUCAACAUCAGUUUUGAUCGCUGGAUAAAGGCAGGAGGAAUGUAGCACCCCCGGGUGAACUUAUAGCCUCUUGUCACAUACAGUGGUUGGGACUGAGGAACGCAGCAUGCCUUUAUGGCCGGGAUUCGUCCACGUACAUGCUUAGGAUGUUGACAUAAUGGCUUUAAACGACCCGUCU